GGGGAAGAGGGCUCAGCUUACAUGUGGAAGGGCCUCACCUAUCUGUUGCACUUUCCUAGGGGAAAGUGAGCAUGCUUAAUACUUUCCUGAAGCAGCCCUGUGAAGAACUCUGAGAUCCAGGAACAUUACCUACCCUAUCUCUGCAUCAGAUCUAGGCUCUUUCCCUGGUGAGACUGUAACCAAAUUCUAUUCCAUAACCCUUAUAUGAAUCUGCUUCUGAUUGGC
rnacentral:lncRNA from 1 species